UGUGUACUCCCUCCAUUCCAAAAUACUUGACUUCCAUUUGUCCAAAAAUAGAUGUACCUAUAUACUAAAACAUGUCUAGAUACAUAUAUAUUUUGACAAAUAGAAGGCAUGUAUUGUGCAACGGAGGGAGUAGAAU
rnacentral:pre_miRNA from 1 species